ensembl:Mt_tRNA
GAACCAGACUGGAGAUGCCAAGAACUGCUAAUUACUUCGCACCGCGGUUCAAUUCCGCGGCUUGUUCG